rnacentral:rRNA from 1 species
GAGGUUACCCCCACAUUGGGUACUGAGACACGGACCCAAACUCCUACGGGAGGCAGCAG